CCUACGGGAGGCAGCAGUGAGGAAUAUUGGUCAAUGGACGAGAGUCUGAACCAGCCAAGUAGCGUGAAGGAUGACAGCCCUAUGGGUUGUAAACUUCUUUUAUAAAGGAAUAAAACGAGGCACGUGUGGCUUUUUGUAUGUACUUUAUGAAUAAGCAUCGGCUAAUUCCGUGCCAGCAGCCGCGGUAAUACGGAGGAUCCGAGCGUUAUCCGGAUUUAUUGGGUUUAAAGGGAGCGUAGAUGGGUUGUUAAGUCAGUUGUAAAAGUUUGCGGCUCAACCGUAAAAUUGCAAUUGAUACUGUCAGUCUUGAGUAUAGUCAAGGUACGUGGAAUUCGUGGUGUAGCGGUGAAAUGCUUAGAUAUCACGAAGAACCCCGAUUGCGAAGGCAGCUUACUAAACUGUGACUGACAUUGAUGCUCGAAAGUGUGGGUAUCAAACAGGAUUAGAUACCCUUGUAGUC
rnacentral:rRNA from 1 species